GACAGGAGAGAAAAUGCACGUUCAGAUAGGAAGGAUCACCUCGAGCAGACUGUUGAGAGGCUAACACAAUUAGUGGUGGGCUUUAUCUCAAUAGUAAACCAAACAUGGCCCAUAAUCCUAAUGGUGACCGCAGUGGUAAUUAGAAUCAUGCCUCUGUAAAUGCACUGCAACUAGCUAAGCUAGAUAAUGGGAAGUUGAUUAAGUAAUUUAGAGGGUUGAAUCUACCUGCCUUUUGAUGAGGACUUUUUCCACCAAUAGUUGAACAAUGGUUCAUGUAAAUAGAGAAGAGGCUCAAAUAUCUCAAGCCUACAUCUGAGCAGAAGGUGGAACUCACUUCUUUUAUAUUCGAAG
rnacentral:lncRNA from 1 species